GAUGAACGCUAGCGGCAGGCCUAACACAUGCAAGUCGAACGGUAACAGGGAAAAGCUUGCUUUUCCGCUGACGAGUGGCGCACGGGUGCGUAACGCGUAUACAAUCUACCUCUUACAGGGGGAUAGCCUUUAGAAAUGAAGAUUAAUACCCCAUGGCAUUAUAAACCGGCAUCGGUUUAUAAUUAAAGUUUCGGCGGUAGGAGAUGAGUAUGCGUUCUAUUAGCUAGUAGGUGUGGUAACGGCACACCUAGGCAACGAUAGAUAGGGGCCCUGAGAGGGGGAUCCCCCACACUGGUACUGAGACACGGACCAGACUCCUACGGGAGGCAGCAGUGAGGAAUAUUGGGCAAUGGAGGCAACUCUGACCCAGCCAUGCCGCGUGCAGGAAGACUGCCCUAUGGGUUGUAAACUGCUUUUAUACAGGAAGAAACACACCUACGUGUAGGUGCUUGACGGUACUGUAAGAAUAAGCACCGGCUAACUCCGUG
rnacentral:rRNA from 1 species